rnacentral:rRNA from 1 species
GGUGAGCUACCCCGAGACAGCCUAUAUUAAUCUAGGGCUAACCCGUCUCUGUGGCAAAAGAGUGGGAAGAGCUCCGGGUAGAAGUGAAAGACCUACCGAACCUGGUGAUAGCUGGUUGACUGAGAAAUGGAUAGAAGUUCAGCCUCGUACACCCCAAACCAAGAAAUGUUAUCGCCAAGAUAUUUAGGGAAACGUACGAGAGUUAGUUGAAAGGGGUACAGCCCUUUUAACAAAGGAUACAACCUUUACAGGAGGAUAAAGAUCAUAAUGUAUAAGAUAUACUGUUCUAGUGGGCCUGAAAGCAGCCACCUAAACAGAAAGCGUUAAAGCUCGGACAGAAAGAAGUUUAUUAUACUGAUAAAAAAUCUUAUUCCCCUAACUAUAUCAGACCAACCCAUGCCCACAUGGAAGAGAUUAUGCUAAAAUGAGUAAUAAGAAGACCCGCUCUUCUCCCAGCACAAGUGUAAACCAGAUCGGACCAACCACUGGAGCUUAACGAACCCAACCCAAGAGGGUAGUGUGACUAAGAGAAAACACGAGAAGACCUCACAUUAAUUGAUCGUUAACCCCACACUGGAGUGCUAUUUUAAGGGAAAGACUAAAAGAAGAGGAAGGAACUCGGCAAACACAAGCCUCGCCUGUUUACCAAAAACAUCGCCUCCUGCAACUAAACUGAGUAUAGGAGGUCCAGCCUGCCCAGUGACUACGGGUUCAACGGCCGCGGUAUCUUGACCGUGCAAAGGUAGCGCAAUCACUUGUCUCUUAAAUAGAGACCUGUAUGAAUGGCUAGACGAGGGCUUAACUGUCUCCCCCUUCCAGUCAGUGAAAUUGAUCUAUCCGUGCAGAAGCGGGUAUAAAUAUACAAGACGAGAAGACCCUUUGGAGCUUAAGGUACAAAUUCAACCACGUUAAACGACUCUGUAAAAGGCAAGAACUUAGUGACAAUGAAAUUUUACCUUCGGUUGGGGCGACCGCGGAGGAAAAACGAGCCUCCGAGUGGACUGGGCCAAACCCCUGAAGCCAAUAGAAACAUCUAUAAGCCGCAGAACAUCUGACCAAAAAUGAUCCGGCUAAAGAGCCGAUCAACGAACCAAGUUACCCAAGGGAUAACAGCGCAAUCCCCUCCCAGAGCCCAUAUCUACGAGGGGGUUUACGACCUCGAUGUUGGAUCAGGACAUCCUAAUGGUGC